rnacentral:rRNA from 1 species
AGCGAACGCUGGCGGCGUGCCUAACACAUGCAAGUCGAACGUGAAAAGGGAAACCUGAGUACAGUGGCGUACGGGUGAGUAACGCGUAGGUAAUCUACCCCAGAAUCUGGAAUAACCUGCCGAAAGGCGGGCUAAUACUGGAUAGAGCGAGGGAACUCGUAAGAGAGUUUUUCGGGAAAGGGAGCCCGCAAUUGCCUUCGUUCUGGGAUGAGCCUGCGUCUCAUUAGCUAGUUGGUAAGGUAACGGCUUACCAAGGCGAUGAUGAGUAGCUGGUCUGAGAGGAUGAUCAGCCAAACUGGAACUGAAACACGGGCCAGAAUCCCACGGGAGGCAGCAGGGGGGGAUCUUGCGGAAUGGACGAAAGUCUGAAGCAGCCACGCCGCGGGAGUGAAGAAGGCCUUCGGGUUGUAAAGCUCUGUCGGAUGGGACGAACAUCUUCAUAGUGAAUAGCUAUGAGGACUGACGGUACCAACAAAGGAAGCACCGGCUAACUCCGUG